rnacentral:rRNA from 1 species
AAUAGAUACCCAGGUAGUCCAUGCCGUAAACGUUGGGAACUAGAUGUGGGGGCCAUUCCACGGUCUCCGUGUCGCAGCUAACGCAUUAAGUUCCCCGCCUGGGGAGUACGGCCGCAAGGCUAAAACUCAAAGGAAUUGACGGGGGCCCGCACAAGCGGCGGAGCAUGCGGAUUAAUUCGAUGCAACGCGAAGAACCUUACCAAGGCUUGACAUAUACGAGAACGCUGCAGAAAUGUAGAACUCUUUGGACACUCGUAUACAGGUGGUGCAUGGUUGUCGUCAGCUCGUGUCGUGAGAUGUUGGGUUAAGUCCCGCAACGAGCGCAACCCUCGUUCUAUGUUGCCAGCACGUAAUGGUGGGAACUCAUAGGAGACUGCCGGGGUCAACUCGGAGGAAGGUGGGGAUGACGUCAAAUCAUCAUGCCCCUUAUGUCUUGGGCUUCACGCAUGCUACAAUGGCCGGUACAAAGGGCUGCAAUACCGCAAGGUGGAGCGAAUCCCAAAAAGCCGGUCUCAGUUCGGA